AUGCCACAACACUACUGUAGCUAACAAAGUUUAUAAUGCCACAACACUACUGUAGCUAACAAAGUUUAUAAUGCCACAACACUACUGUAGCCAACAAAGUUUAUAAUGCCACAACACUACUGUAGCUAACAAAGUUUAUAAUGCCACAACACUACUGUAGCUAACAAAGUUUAUAAUGCCACAACACUACUGUAGCUAACAUAGUUUAUAAUGCCACAACACUACUGUAGCUAACAAAGUUUAUAAU